rnacentral:lncRNA from 1 species
GCACCACUGCACUGCAGCCUGGGUGACAGUGUGAGACCUUGUCUGAAAAAAAAAAAGGAAAGAAAUGACCAUUUCACUUCCUGGAGAGAGCUGCUAUGGCUUGAAUAAAAUCUAGUAGGGGCCUAAGACAGCUCCCGGGUGGGCCCAAGUCCCUGAAGUCUGGAAGUCUGGGUUUGGAGAAGCGAUGAGGGAUGGGCUGGGGAAAGCGUAAUAAUCCACCCCCACGGUUGCCCCUGACAACAGCAAACUCUAGACCGGGGUGGGAGACUGUCUCUGCUCUCAUCAGCUGUGGGCCUUGAGCCAGGGGUCCCUCUCACUCCUACAUAUACUUCCGUGCCUACAAAAUGAAGGGAUUGAACCAGAUGACCUGACACUCUUUGUUUCCUAAAACAGUUUUGGAAACCUUUCCUAAAUGCUCGUGCACUUAACUUUCUUGGUUCCUUCAGAGGUGAAUAAAUACAGUGGAUGUUUCCCUGUUUCCUUGUGGUCCUCACUACCUGAUGGUGACUUAUGAGACAAGAUGGGUCUGUUUUUAACUGCCCCUAAGUGGGGUGUGAAAUUUUCACCCACACCCACCUCUCCACAAAAACACACCUCUGAGUUCUCUACGUUUACCCCUCACUCGGGAAAUGGAAAUUGCUUUGAUUUAUCCUGAGCCCACCUUCUGAAAAAGCUGCUUUUUCCUGUUGUCUAGGAUUGGUGAGUAAACCCAUGCCCAGCCCCAAGCCCCUUCUUCAUGUCUUGAGGAACCUAAACCUCCCGAGUGAAAAGAAGUCACAGAGGUCCAUCGCUCCCCAGAUCCCAAUUGAGGGCAGCUUGGUUCAGUGCCAACCCCGUGUGCUUCCUGCGCCCUUGAUCAUGGCCAAGGUGCACCACAAAAACAGAGUUGUGUGUGUCUUGCUGCCCGAUCUCCUGCUAAACGUGCAGGUCCCAACAUGUGUUUCAGGAACAAAUUGUUCCACAGGAUUGAGCAGCUGCUAGGUCACUGAAGGGUCCCAGGAUCAAAUGUAUCUAAGAAGUGCAUGGAAACAUUAUAAAGUUGAAAAAGUUAAACAAGGUUUUUGUUUUGUUUUGUUUUGUUUCCUGCCAACUUCUCCAGGUUUGCAACCUUUCCAAGUCUUUUGCAUACUGUAUGAGUGGUGAAUCUUCGAGUUAGAGGUGGUAUUACAUACAGGAUUUCUCCAACUUACUUAGCCAGGGAACCCAAACACCCCUUGAAAAUGCCAUCUUACUAUGUAGCUAUCUCCCUUCACCUCCCAGCUGUAAUCCCAAAUAAACAUGUAACCUUCAGUAA